rnacentral:rRNA from 1 species
AGCAUACAAGGCAUACGGCUCAGUAACGCGUAGUCAACCUAACCUAUGGACGGGAAUAACCUCGGGAAACUGAGAAUAAUGCCCGAUAGAACAUUAUGCCUGGAAUGGUUUAUGUUCCAAAUGAUUUAUCGCCGUAGGAUGGGACUGCGGCCUAUCAGUUUGUUGGUGAGGUAAUGGCCCACCAAGACUAUUACAGGUACGGGCUCUGAGAGGAGUAGCCCGGAGAUGGGUACUGAGACACGGACCCAGGCCCUAUGGGGCGCAGCAGGCGAGAAAACUUUGCAAUGUGCGAAAGCACGACAAGGUUAAUCCGAGUGGUUUCUGCUAAAGAAACCUUUUGUCAGUCCUAGAAACACUGAUGAAUAAGGGGUGGGCAAGUUCUGGUGUCAGCCGCCGCGGUAAAACCAGCACCUCAGGUGGUCAGGAUGAUUAUUGGGCCUAAAGCAUCCGUAGCCGGCUCUGUAAGUUUUCGGUUAAAUCUGUACGCUCAACGUACAGGCUGCCGGGAAUACUGCAGAGCUAGGGAGUGGGAGAGGUAGACGGUACUCGGUAGGAAGGGGUAAAAUCCUUUGAUCUAUUGAUGACCACCUGUGGCGAAGGCGGUCUACCAGAACACGUCCGACGGUGAGGGAUGAAAGCUGGGGGAGCAAACCGGAUUAGAUACCCGGGUAGUCCCAGCUGUAAACUAUGCAAACUCAGUGAUGCAUUGGCUUGUGGCCAAUGCAGUGCUGCAGGGAAGCCGUUAAGUUUGCCGCCUGGGAAGUACGUACGCAAGUAUGAAACUUAAAGGAAUUGGCGGGGGAGCACCACAAGGGGUGAAGCCUGCGGUUCAAUUGGAGUCAACGCCGGG